rfam:Planktothrix serta PCC 8927 isolate BBR_PRJEB10992 genome assembly, scaffold: BBR_A_PL8927_scaffold66
GUCAGCACCCCGCUCUAAAGAGAAGGGGCUUGAUGCCCCCAACUUUAGGUAGCUGACCAGCCUAAGUCCCAUCUAUGGGGAAACUACGUUAUCGGCAAGUGUUCAAGACCUACCUGGGAAUGCGUAGCCAGUUCCUAGCUCUAGAACAAGAAAGUUAAACAGUUUUACGAGGGGUAAAACAGUGCUUCUUGAUAGUUACCGACCGAUAACAUUGGCAAGGCUAACAUGAC